ensembl:lncRNA
GCAUUUUCCGAAGACUUCUUGAAUUGUCAGGCUUGUGCUGUGACCACUUCCCUGAGGAGCCUGUUCCAGUGCCCAACCACCCUCUGAAGAACCUUUUGCUAGUAUCCAACUUAACCUUACCUGACUCAGCUGCAUGUUGUUUCCUUGAAUCCUGAUCAUGAGAGAGAUCAGUCUCUGCCCCUCCUCCUCAUGAGGAAGUCAGAGGCUACAAUGAGAUCUCCUUUCAGUCUUCUCCAGGCUAGACAAGGUAAGUGAUCUCAGCUGUUCUUCCUGUGGCUUCCCCUCUAGGCUACACUAUUUCAUGUAAUUACAGUCAGUCCUCUGCAGCAUUUAAAGUUGGGUAAGCUGACAAUACCUUUCUUUGAGAUUUUAAAAGGAUGUGUAUUUUUUGCCUGUUGAAAUUGUGCUUUUAAAAGCUGUGGAUUACUUAUUUAUCCUAGUGUUAUACUCAGCUCCUUUACCUAACAAGCAAGAACAGACCUUCUACUGUUCAGCUUGAUUCUUGUCAAAGAGAUGGUUGUCUUCUUGGCAAAGGAAGAGCUCAAUGAGACAUAUAAACAUAGUUAAAUUUUGGUCUAAACAAGAAAACCUCCCAGUAAUUAUUUGACUAAGGGGGGCAUUGUAACAGUUACCUCUUACAACUUUUCAUCAAACCUUAAGCAGUGAAACAAAGCAACUGUUUUUAUAUAUUGGUGACCACUAGUUUACAUAAUUAAACAUUUAUUUCUACCAAUACCAACAGGAAGGCGCACAGGGGCGGAAUGGCAGGUGGGGGAACAAUACACCUAUCAAAAAUACAAGCUGCUGGUCUGGCCCUCCCAGAGCUGUUCCUGGAGAUUCUCAUCCCCAUGGGCCCAGGGAGGACAAUCAUCACCCUGAGUCAGCAGGGGUGGCUCUCCAGAUCCCCUUCAAGAUUUCACUUACAUUCCAGCUGGGAUCAAAAAAUAAACACCUACCACAGUAGCAUCUGACUGAAGUUACAACUACAUGUUGGAAUCUGGAGAUCUUCACCCAGUUAUAAAUAUCAAACAUAAAAUUUGAAUAUAUUUGGAUCAACUCUCUUGUUUUGAUUUUCAAAGCUUACUGAUCAAAAAUUACUCUGCUGGCUUACCACAUAUUUAGGAAGAGAAGUUUCUUUUUGUCAACAAAACUGAACUUUCUGUGUUAUUCUGGUCUGCAUAAUAUGAUGGAGUGUUGCCCUGUAGCUGAAUAGAAACAGAUGUAUAUGGAGAAAAUAACAAAAACAGACACAGAUGGUGUAUCACAUGUAUAACUUCUUAAUUUAUCCCUCAUUGUGUGAUACAAUUAUCCCAGCAAGUAGGCUGUAUUCAUUCCCUUUUCACAGAUUCUGCCAGUUCCUGCAGGGACACUUUUCUGGAUAGUGCUAUAAACUGCCAGGGCAGCACAAAAAGAUUACUCAGUCUCUCAUUGCACCCUCUCUAGGUCCCUUCACUGUCCAUUUUUCCUUUUGUUUGUUUGUUUGUUUACCUAUUUCUUUUUUAGUAACUGAGAGUGUGGUGAAAGAACUAUUUCAGUUAAUUUUUUUCAUGGGAACAGUGAUGUAGUUUUCUUUAGGCAUAAAAACACAAAAAACAAACCAGAACAC